rnacentral:rRNA from 1 species
CACUCCUGCGGGAGGCAGCAGUGGGGAAUAUUGGACAAUGGGCGCAAGCCUGAUCCAGCCAUGCCGCGUGAGUGAUGAAGGCCCUAGGGUUGUAAAGCUCUUUCACCGGUGAAGAUAAUGACGGUAACCGGAGAAGAAGCCCCGGCUAACUUCGUGCCAGCAGCCGCGGUAAUACGAAGGGGGCUAGCGUUGUUCGGAUUUACUGGGCGUAAAGCGCACGUAGGCGGACUAUUAAGUCAGGGGUGAAAUCCCGGGGCUCAACCCCGGAACUGCCUUUGAUACUGGUAGUCUUGAGUUCGAGAGAGGUGAGUGGAAUUCCGAGUGUAGAGGUGAAAUUCGUAGAUAUUCGGAGGAACACCAGUGGCGAAGGCGGCUCACUGGCUCGAUACUGACGCUGAGGUGCGAAAGCGUGGGGAGCAAACAGGAUUAGAAACCCGUGUAGUCCCAUGA